rnacentral:rRNA from 1 species
GCGAAAGCAAGAUUAAUAUCUGAUGGUCUCAGUGUAUGCAUGUAUGAUUGAGUAAAGGCUUCGGACGGUGAUGGAUGGCGGUGCGUCCCAUUAGGAAGUUGGCGGGGUAACGGCCCACCAAUCCUUCGAUGGGUAGGGGUUCUGAGAGGAAGGUCCCCCACAUUGGAACUGAGAUACGGUCCAAACUCCUACGGGAGGCAGCAGUGAGGAAUAUUGGUCAAUGGGCGAGAGCCUGAACCAGCCAAGUAGCGUGCGGGAUGAAGGCCCUUGUGGUCGUAAACCGCUUUUAUCAGUGAAUAAAGUG